GAGACUCUGUGCGCGUGCAUAUCAAUAAGCGGAGGAAAAGAAACUAACAAGGAUUCCCCUAGUAACGGCGAGUGAAGCGGGAAGAGCUCAAAUUUGAAAUCUUAAAGGGUUUCCCUUUACGAAUUGUAGUUUAAAGAAGUGUUUUCUGUUGGAGUUUUGGUAAAAGUUCUUUGGAAUAGGACAUCAUAGAGGGUGAGAAUCCCGUAUUUGACCAGUUACUUUCCAGCUGUGUGAUACACUUUCAAAGAGUCGGAUUGUUUGGGGAUGCAGUCCAAAAUGGGUGGUAAAUUUCAUCUAAAGCUAAAUACUGGCGAGAGACCGAUAGCGAACAAGUACCGUGAGGGAAAGAUGAAAAGAACUUUGAAAAGAGAGUUAAACAGUACGUGAAAUUGUCAAAAGGGAAGCGUUUGACACCAGUGUUGUUUAGUUGAAAAUCAAUUCAAUAAUUUUUGAUUUUGAGUAGUAUUGACUUCAUCAGCUUGCUGCUUUCUUUUCAGAAAUUAUUGAAUGCACUUUUCAGUUAACAAGUCAACAUCAAUUUCUUUUGUUGUAAAAGGGUAAGAGGAAGGUGGCUUACGCUUCGGCGUAAGUGUUUAUAGCCUUUUACCUCUGCAAUCGGAGAGAUUGAGGACAGCAGCGUAGACUCUUCGGGGUUAGAUACACUUGUGCUAAGCUAUAGCCUUGUAUAGACAACUUGUUGACUAUGCUCAGUCAUGUAGCUUACUCGCUUGUGCUAUUUUACCUACGCUUAGGAUGUUGAGUCGUAGAGCACGCAG
rnacentral:rRNA from 1 species